GCGCCGCGCGCUUUACGGCAGCUGCGGUUAACCCCGCGCUGCCCGGCGCCGCUGUCGGGACAGGCGCCGCUAUCGCGACAGGGCCGCGCUGCCUCGGCGCCCUGCGGCGGGGAGCGGCUCCCACAGGGAGCACACCGCGCUCCGAGGGUGCUGCAGGGCCCGGCCGCACUGACCCCACUGCCUUUCAUUUUCUCCUGAUUCUCACCCAGGGACAAACACUCCAUCCCAGAACCCCCCCAGCGAAGGAGGGCACAGCCAGAGGAUCAUUUCCUUCUCACCCCUUUUCUUCUCAGCCCCCAAGUUUGAGGCUCUCAGGAUGCUUCACCAGGAGUAACAAAUCAUGGAAUCACAGGAUUGCUGAGGCUGGAAAAGACCUCCAAGACCACCAAGUCCAACCAUCAGCCCAGCCCCACCAUCAUGUUCCCCACUAACCCAUGUCCCCAAGGGCUACACCCACACAUUUUUUGAACAACAUCCCAGGGAUGAUGAUUCCACCACCACCCUGGGCAGCCUGUUCCAACAUUUUACAAUCCUUUCUGUGAAAAUAAAUGUUUCCUAAUAUCCAAUCCAAACCUCCCCCCUUCACAGAGCCUCAGGUUCCUCCACAUGAAGCUUGCUUUGCAUGACACAAAGCAACAUCACCACAUGACACCGUGACAAUUUCCAGCCUGAGCUGUCUUGUGCUGUCUAGAUUUGUCCUCCAGAAACUCUGAGAGCCAUCAACUGACUGCACUGUGCAACCUUUCAAAGCAGUGAUGGCUUGUGGUGGCUGCUGAGCUGCCUCUUCACAUUAUUGUGAUACACAGCAGGGAUUCUCCAAGGCAGAGAGGGAUCUGAAGAAUCCCAGAAUCUCAGAAUGGUUUGGGCUGGAAGGAACCUUAAAUCUCAUCUCAUUGUGCUCCCCUGCCAUGGGCAGGGACACCUU